UUGGAUCACGCCCACUACCAGCCGAAUCAAAAAAAAGAUCCAAGGGAUUCAGUCAUGUUCUAAUCAACAACUGCGGCGAGCGGUUUGGGGCUAGGCGAGCGGCGGCCAUCGUCCGACAGUGAUACGAGUGGGCCCGGCGGGAGCUCGGCCUCCAGCGCCGUUCUCUCAAGCCCGGUGUGGUGGACGACGCCUCGCCGGCGAUGAACACCUGGCCACACCGCCACAGUCGGGCGCAGUCCGCGAGUCAGGGGUUGGAGGCGUCCUCGUCUAGUCGACGAGCUGGUUAUGGUCGGGAGGGCAGCGCGUCGUGGCUGCUGCGUGAAGAGGUACUUCAUCGCUUUUCGGUAGAUGCCCCCAAAUGAUUAUGCUUUAGGAUCCAGCCCUUUCAAUUUGAUUCUAUUUUACGGAGCUAUGGUUGAUUCUCACUACAACUUCACCAUCGAUUGCUUUAUUAUGCCUGACUACCUACGUAAAUCAAGAUCCCGCAGGCUGGCAUCCAUGGCUGGAUAUGCUUCAGUAGCCUCACUUUAUUUUCUUUAUUUUUUUGCGGGGUAGCCUCACUUUAUUGCCUCGAUGUUGCCGGUCGAUGGCCGUAGCCUUAUUCGUUUUGCCUCAGAUCUUGGACUAUUGCUUCAGGAGCAAACACAUAUAACAAUAAAUCAGACGCAUGCAGGCAAUACUUCACUGCACACGAUAUAUUUGAUCCGGCAACUAGUUUAUCCAUAUCGUUGAUUGAUGCGGAACAAACAUACUAAUGGUCAAUUUCGCAAUUCAGUUCUUGUUCUCGCCCACUAAUAAUAAUAAAAAGCGACGAAAUCCUUAUCCGUCACUUGCUGCUAGUAAUCCCGAAAAGAAACCAAGCAAAGGUUUGGGAGUAAAAACUAAUUCCUUGCCCAAUACACUACUAAGUCCCUCCUCUAAAGUCAUAUCCCUCUUCCCAUUAUUACCAAAUACUCCCUCCGUCCGGAAAUACUUGUCGGAGCAAUGGAUGUAUCUAGAUGUAUUUUAGUUCUAGAUACAUUCAUAUUUAUGCAUUUCUUCGACAAGUAUUUCCGGACGGAGGGAGUAGGCUAUAGAUGAGUUGCUCGGGUGGCCUGAAGCAAAACAAGAACCAUUUGUACUCCAAUUGGUUAGGUGCGUGGUUUUAUUGUUCUUCAGUUUAUUAGUGCGAAGUUGGUUGCAUCAUCCGCUUCAGGAGAUAGUCAUGUGCGCCACGAAAUUAGCUUCACCUAGAGAUAGUAUGAGCAGGCAUACCUCCUAGUCUAGCUAGCUGGGCUAUGCAACUAUCUGAUUGUUUUUUUUAGAAAAGAAGGAUGACCCCCGGCCUCUGCAUCUGGGAGAUGCAUGUGGUCAUUUUAUUAAUUAUUCUCGAGGACCUUACAAAGUAGAACAACAAUAUGCCUGAAUCCGCCAUCUUGGCAACUUCUGCCGCUACUCCUAUCCAAAUGAUGAAGGGGUGCAAGUUGGGCCACAUACCCAGAGCUCUCACCUAAGCCUAACAUCUAAAGCCGAAGUCCCCGACCGAGCCAUCUGCCGGGUCCGGGGCUCAAACCGGUCCGACGCACUCACAUCUGUCGUCGCCGCCAUCUUCCACUGGUCCAUCUUCAGAGCAGCUAUCUGAUUGUAAUUGAGGACUAGUGUCUUUGGUAGUUCCAACAAAUCAGGGAUUCAGUACGAAGCUUAUUGGCAUUCGGUAUUCGAGUUUGUUUGUUUUGCCUCCAUAAUAUAUGGUGAUAUCUAUAUAAACCCAAGAAAACAUAUGUUGGCUUUUCAGCUCUACCAUUGUCCUGUACAAACUGGAAUAGUUGGAUAACGUGAACCGUGAAUAAGGGUUCAGUUAUGUUUUAAGGAGUGGAGAAAGAAUAUUUCAAGUAGGCUCAUGACGAUCACCUAUUCACUUCGAUUCUGUUUUCAGCGGCUUGAAUUGGGCAAUUAAGCGUUGGCUAUAAGAUAAAUGGGUACCCACUGAUUUUGGGAUUUAUGUUAGCUUGAAGACAACAGUUUAUACCCAAAUAAAGUGAAACAAACAUUAUCUCUAGUACUGAGAUGAGAAGUAUCUCAGGUCUGUAGGUGCAGAAUCAGGGUGGACUAUAAUGGAGCAUAUGCAUUAGCUUGAAGACAAUAGUUUAGCUCAAAGAAGAUGAAUCAAACAUUAUAACGAGCACUGAGAUGAGAAAUAUUUCGGAUCUGUAAGUGCCGAAUCAGGAUAUAUUAUAAUGUGGCUUAGCUAUAUUUUAUUUUGGUGAUGCCGACUAACCUAUGACUAGCUAUGCAGCUUUUCAUGUAAAAAUAAAGGAAAAACUUGGCUUAUUUUCUACUCCCUCCGUUUCAAAAUAUAAGCCCUUUUAGAGAUUUCAAUGCAAACUACAUACGGAUGUAUAUAAACAUAUUAUAGAGUAUAGAUUCACUCAUUUUGCUUCGUAUGUAGUCUAUAUUGGAAUCUCUAAAAAGGCUUAUAUUUAGAAACAGAGGGAGUACAUGCCGCCAAGGCAUAAUUUCUGAUCCAUUGUAGAACGGAAUUUUUUCUGUUCAUGCAUGAGAAUACACACAUAAACCAUUUAUUACUGAACGAAGAAUCCUUUUAUCAAGUUUCUACUUUGUACUGGAGCUUUCAGAUUUAGCAUCUGUUUUGGCACCUUACGGAAACAGACAUAAUUUACUGUUUAUUUCCAGCCAUUGAUUCUACAGCAUAUCUACGCACCACUUCUUUUUCAGAUUCUUGUAAACUGUAUGACAUUGAUUUUGAUCUUCUAUAACAUUUCUCCUGUCUUUCAGAACUAUCCAUUCAAAUAUCAGGUAUUCUGGGUAAUCUUUUGUGAUGUCAUGUUUAGCACAAUAAUUUUCUGAGUAAAUCCAACGUUCCAGGAAUCUUUAUAUUUUAGUUGCAUUUAUUGCACGAUCUAGAAGAGAAGCUUCGAUUUUGGCAAUAGACGCUGCAGAAAGUUGUUGCUAGUUUUGGAGGUUUAUAUGUGAUAGUUCUCGUGUCCUAUGUGUGAGCAGCAGUACAAGUGAGUUAACAUGUUUACGAGUUUAUCACAUGGUUUUCUCAAACAAAAAAGUAGCUUCCUGAUGAAUCAGAUGCAUUUCUGUGUGGUGCUUCAGCUGAUGCGUCGCUUGUCAGGCCUGUCGUGGAUAAUCGGUGCAUGGUAGGAAGAACAAUGGCAAAACGAGGACGGACUGAAGGCAGCAGAUUCCGUGUUGGUCGGAGGGGAAGACGUUGUCUUUAUCUAAGUGCCUCCUGCAACCAUCUCCUUGUAGCCUCAGAUAAUGACUUCAGGUAGGGCAGACCGAGUGACAUAACUGUAACUGUGAUAAUCAUUUUAGUAAUCUUAUUUGAUGACAUUUCUGGAGGGAUAUGUUCCUCAGCUGUUCAUAUUAAUGUUUCUUACUGUCGUCGGCUAAAAUUUCACAUUCAAACUGAACUUGUUAUCACAGAAGUUAGG
rnacentral:lncRNA from 1 species